AAAGGGCAAAAGGGCAAAAGCAGCUCAGUCUCAUUCUCCGGCUCUCUCUCUGUGCAACAGACUCGUCAGCGACAUCGACUCAAAAUGAAGGUGAACAGCACGUGGCUCAAACGGGUGUUUCCAGGCGUUUGGACUCAUCAAAUGCAUCCCUGGUUGGAGUAUGAUGCAGAGGUGUGAAGAAGCUGGGGAUGAUGAGGUGUGAUCACACUGACUGAAUUCACUCUUCGUUCACGACAUUCAAUAAGACGGUCUCGUGUUUGUGCAUCUGGUCUGAACGCUCUAGUAUGAGCUACUGAAACCUCUCUGGCUACAGAAUGCUAUGGUGAGUGAGACUGAAGUUUUAUCCUUAAAUGAAGUUUGACACAAUGAUGAUACCAUAGUUCAGCAGAUUUAACAAUGAAGAAGAUCUAUUUGUCUUUCGCUCCUAGCUGAUGUGUCACCUGUAAUUGUCCUCUAGCCCAAACAGCUUAUUAUGCAUACUAACGUCCCCUCUGUUCUCCUCAGACAUGUGACUUCUCCACCGACUAAACUUCCAGCCUUGUUGGUACGUCUCACAUUCAAAUCAAAUGUUGCUAAUGUUCAGGCGUGAUGAAUGUGAAUCAGGUCGCUGAUCCAGUUGAGGAAAUAUGUCAUGUUUCUGAUCUGAUACUUGUUGCAAGAGAUAAAAUUGCUAGUUUCUGCAAUCAUCAUAAUUGAAGCUGUUUUUACUUUACAGAUCUAAUGGGAUCUUGGGCAGUUGGGUGCAGAAGAUGUCACACAAACAAUGUGAGUAUGAAAAUAAAAACUGUAGAACCUCAGUCCCAGAUGACAAGUGGAGCUGGACACAAACAUGCCCUUUAGCUAUCAGCAGGUAGUUGUCAAGACUGAAACUGCUAGUUGGCUUUUUUCA